UACGUAGGGGGCAAGCGUUGUCCGGAAUCAUUGGGCGUAAAGAGCGUGUAGGCGGCUCGGUAAGUCCGCUGUGAAAGUCCAGGGCUCAACCCUGGAAUGCCGGUGGAAACUGUCGAGCUAGAGUCUGGAAGAGGCGAGUGGAAUUCCUGGUGUAGCGGUGAAAUGCGCAGAUAUCAGGAGGAACACCAAUGGCGAAGGCAGCUCGCUGGGACGGUACUGACGCUGAGACGCGAAAGCGUGGGUAGCAAACAGG
rnacentral:rRNA from 1 species